AACCCAACUAUUCCCAAUCGGGUUCGUGUGUGAAGUCUCCACCCGAAGAACCCGAUCGGGGGAAAGGAAAAAAGGGGGAACGGGUUACACAACCUAAUACCAAGUCAGAAAAAGAAUUACAGUGUUUCUUGGCCCUUGUUGCUGCUGUUGUUCUUGCUUUCACAAAACUCAAAAGCCUUAUUCUUGCUGCUGUCGUCGACUAGACAUGGCGCCGCCAACCAGACGCUGCGGCCACGCCACCCACAGACGCCGACGAGUUCUCCUUCUUCGCCGACAGUCCGUGCUUGCUAUUUUUGCCAAUUUUCACCAUUGUAUUAGAUUUGAAACAUUGGGUUCUCGAUAUAUCUUUCAUAAAUAUGGAUGGAAUUGAAAGUCACUCUCAGUCUCAAUCUAACUCGUCACCGAAUGCUCAAACCAUAAAUAUGGAUGGAUUGAAAAAUCAGGUUAGUGGCGAUCAUCUUGAAAUUGUUGAGCAUUAUUUUGAUGAUAAUAUUGGUAAGGAGUUGGAGGGAGAGGAUGAGGAGGAAGAUGUUUUAGGUGAUUCUAAAAAAAGGAAAAAGAGGGUAGUGGCUUCUAGAUUAUCGUAUUGGGAUCAUUUCAUUAAAUUUCAUUAUGAAAAGGAUAAUAUCCAAAAGACCAGGUGUAAAUAUUGUAGUAGAGAGAUCAAAGCCCAUCCAAAAGCACAUGGGACUAGACCUUUGAAGAAUCAUUUUGAAUCUUGCAAGAAAUAACCCAUCAAGAAAUCACCAGAAAUUAAAUUAAAUUGUCUUUCCAACUAACUCGCAUGGGUGAUAGAGACGCCCCUCUUGUUAAUUGGAGAUUUGAGUAAGACAAAACUAGAGAACCUUGUCACAUGCUGGUUGUGGAUGAACUUCCAUUUAAGUUAGUCGAACAUCCUGGAUUUAGGCAUUUUUGUUUGUUGCAUGCUCGAUGUUUGCCAUUCCAUCAAGAAGAACAAUAACAAAAGAUAUUUUCAAUAUAUAUGUGAGUGAAAGAUCAAGAUUGAAGUCGUUUAUUAAAGAUCAUGUUCAACGGGUUUGCAUCACUACAGACACUUGGACAUCUAUUCAAAAAGUCAAUUUUAUAUGUUUGACUGCUAACUUUAUUGAUGAUGAUUGGAACUUGCACAAAAGAAUUUUGAACUUUUGUCCAAUUAUCAGGCAUAAAAGUGAAGAAAUAGGUAAACGUGUUCAAAGAUGCUUGCUUGAUUGGGGUAUUGACAGGGUUUUCUCUAUCACUAUUGAUAAUGCAGCUUCUAAUGAUGGGGCUAUCAUUUACUUGAAAAAAAAAUUUGAAAAUUAGGGGCAAAACAUCUUAGGUGGGAGAUAUGUUCACAAGAGGUGUAUGGCACAUAUAGUUAAUCUUGUUGUGCAGGAUAGUUUAAAGGGUGAGCAUGAAACUAUCUCCCGUAUUAGAGGGGCUAUCAGGUAUAUUAGGAGUUCUCCAGCUAGGUACAAGAAAUUUCAAGAGUGUGUUGAAUUUGAAAAAUUGAAAAUAAAAAAAUUAUUAUCUCUUUAUGUACCUACUAGAUAGAACUCCACCUACUUGAUGUUGGAGACGACUAUAAGCCUUAAGAGUGCAUUUGAUGCUUGUGAAGAUGUGGAUCUUACCUAUAAGACUGAUCUUUCAAAACAACCAUUUGAUGGGAUAUCGACUGAUUAUAAUUGGGAGAGGGCAAAGGUAUUGGUGAAAUUUUUUUAAGGCAUUUUUACAUUCUCACUUUGCAGAUUUUUGGUGCUUGUAUGUCACAUAUAAUCUUAUAUUUCGUGAAAUAUGUGAAUUGACUUGCUUCUCAGAUAUUGGUUAAGGUUAAGUAGUAAUGAUGUUGAAUUAAAUGAGAUGGCAAGAAAGAUGAAGGAAAAGUAUGACAAAUAUUGAGGAUCAAUUGAAAAGAUGAAUAUGAUUUUAUAUUAUGCUGUGAUUCUUGAUCCACGUCAUAAAUUGGAGUUCAUUGAAUUUAGUUUUGAUAAAAUGUAUGGUGGUAUCGAAAAAGUAACGUGAUAAAAGAACAAGGGAGAGAUGGACUUUAUGAAUUGUUUAAUGAUUAUAAGUUGAGAUACGGCCAUACUCUUCAAGGAACGCAAGGAAGCCCCGGAUCAUCAUUUAGUCAUAUUUCUUCAUCAUCUUCCUCUUCUGUAGGGACAUCUAUGUAAUAUACUGACUAUGAGGCGACUCAUACGUUUACCAUAGAAUAAGAGUUCAGUAUGUAAAAAUCAGGUUAGAAAGGGGUCGCCUGAAAUCAGAAUUAGAGAAAUAUCUUGGUAGGAUGUUGAAAUGCAUAGAGACAAAUUUGACAUACUAAAUUGGUGGAAAGUAAACACCCAAAGGUUUCCUAUUCUUUCCAAAAUAGCUCGGGAUGUAUUGGUAGUUCCAGUCCCAACUGUUGCCUCGAAAUCCGUAUUUAGUACCGGUUGCCGUGUUCUUGACACUUUUAGGAGCUCUUUGUCUCCUAAAAUAAUACGAGCACUUAUUGAUACUCAAGAUUGGAUACGGAAAGACUCCAAACCAAUUAGCAUUGAGGAGGAUCUGAGUGAACUUGAAGUAGUUGAGAAAGCUGACUAAGUUGGGGGUUAUCCAAUAAUUAUUGAUAUUUAAUGGUGCUAACUGCUACUUGCAAAUAUUUUACAAGGUCAAGGACUCGAGGAUGAAAAUGUGGUAUGAGCUGGUUGCUUUUUUCGUCUGUAGACAUUAGGAUUUAGGAGGCCUUGGCUUUAUUGUUGUUACUGAAAUGAUUUACAAAACCUCAGAUAAUUUAUGUAUGUGAUUGAACUCAUUUUUUAAGAUAUUUAUGUAAAGUUUUAAGUACUUGUGUCUAUAAGUUACAUUUUAGACUUACAUGGAUUUACUUUAGUGAAUGACUUUCAUUUUGAAACAUUGACCCCUCUACAUUUUCUGAAGCUGACAAAACCCGAACCCGACUGUCGGGUACCUGAACUCGAUGGCUACUCGAUUGGUCGGGUAUCCGAAUCAAUCGGGUUCCGUUUCGGGUUUAUUUUUUUCCAACCCGAGCCGAAGAAUCAACGAACCCGACCCGACGGCCACCCCUAAAUGGACUCAUCUCAAGACCCAUUUAAGGCUUCAAAGUUUGCCCCAAAUCAGGACAAGUCUGGAUCCAACUUGGACCCAUCUUCAUCAUUAGUCUCACCACAGUUAUUGUUGAAGGAAUCAAGUACGUUCGAACCAUCUGCUACGGUAUUGUAGUUGAAAGAAGUGUAACCGAGAGCUUGGAAUCAGUAACAAGGCAGUCAAAUUAAAUCAAUGUAUGAAGUUCAUGAAGGCUUCAUUUUAUUUAGAAGGUAUAUUAGGUCUAAUUAAGAACAUGUGAUAGAAUUAUUGAAUUUUUAUCAUAA